GGCAGACUGGCGCUUCAGUUCACAGCACGGUCUCUUGCUGCUUCUAAUGAGGCUUCGUUAACAGAUGCACUGAUCAUUAAAUAUCGUUGGAACACUUUGCCACGAGUUGGUUGUUAAAUUGCUUGGCGGGUAGCACGCGAUGAGUGGCUCAGAGGAAGCCUGCGCGGUUUACGGGUUUGGCAGCUCGUAACUCCAGGCUCUCACCUUAUCCUCACACGCUAGUCUCCGUCACCUUGGAAACUGCCCUAUUCUAGAUGCAGAGCACAGAACGCCCCAGCUGACAUGGAAUUAAU
rnacentral:lncRNA from 1 species